GGAAUCUGGGAAAUGCAAUAUAAUAAUUAUUUAUUAUUAUUAAUGAUGACAGCAUUGGGCUCUUUCACCAAGAGACUUCUCCCAACAACCUAGAACAGGUGCUUCCCCUCCUCCGGCAGCGGGACAAGGGCUCUGAGUACGCGCAGGGAUGAACCUAGCGGUAGGAACCGGGCUUGAGAGCAGAUGCGGCCGCUGGGUGGAGCGUCCUUUGCUGGGGGAGGGCGGCAGGAGGAGUUCGCCAAAUCUCCCGCCUGCCCCAGCUGAGCGUCCGUCAUGUGCUGGGAGGGGUUCGCCCCGACUCCUAUUUCAGGAAAGUUUGCACCAACUCAGGGCUUGCACCAUGGCAGGGCAGGCGCAGAGCAGGGCUGAGCCGCAGCAGGCGGCGCCGCCAUGGGGAGAAUUGCUGUCCUUCCAGUACUUCCAGCGCGUGUGCCCCCCCGGGGCCGGCUACGGCUACAGCGGGGGCAGCAUGCAGGGGAUGCGGGAAAGCGAGUUCCGCAGGCUCGGAGGAAUGACAUACCUCGACCAUGCAGGCACAGCACUUUUCCCACAGAGUCUUCUUAAGGAGUUUACUGAUGAUCUCAGUAAAAAUAUUUAUGGCAACCCUCAUAGUCAGAACAUCAGCAGCAAGCUGACAUAUGACACUAUUGAGCAUGUCCGAUACAGAAUAUUACAACACUUCAAUACAACUGCAGAAGAUUACACUAUCAUUUUCACAUCUGGAAGUACAGCUGCACUUAAGCUGGUAGCAGAAACAUUUCCUUGGAUGCCUGAAGGCUUGGGGCACCCCAGCAGUCGAUUUUGUUACCUAACUGACAGUCACACAUCUGUGGUGGGUAUGAGGGGGAUAACUACUGCAAUGAAUGUGUUAUCUGUUCCAGUGAAACCCAAGGACAUUUUAUUAUCUGAGAAAAACAGAGUACCAGCUGAAGAACAGAACUGCAUGACACCUCAUCUUUUCUGUUAUCCAGCUCAGAGCAAUUUUUCAGGUAUCAAAUAUCCUCUUUCCUGGAUACAGGAGAUAAAAUCUGGAAAGCUCUGCCCCAUCAAAACACCAGGGAAGUGGUUUGUUCUACUGGAUGCGGCUUCAUAUGUCAGUACCUCCCCAUUAGACUUAACAGUUCACCAGCCAGACUUUAUCCCCAUUUCAUUCUAUAAAAUCUUUGGAUUCCCUACUGGUUUAGGAGCAUUGUUGGUAAACAACCAAAUUGCACCCUUUUUGAGGAAAAGUUAUUUCGGAGGUGGAACUGCAGUUGGCUACCUUGCAGGAGAAGAAUUUUACUCCCCAAGACCAUCUAUAGCAGAAAGUACUGCAUAGACAUUUCUGCCAAAAUUGUGAUGGAAAAUAUGCAAUGUCAUCAAGACCAUAUAAGGACAGAACAAGGAGAUUCUGUGAUAUAGCCUUCAAUCAAGUGUCUCUGAACGUUGAAACUAUUGAAAGGCCCUGACUCAUAUACUCACCAUUGACUGGCUGUGUCUUCUGUUUUGUGUGCAAAUUGUUUUCUCUGAAUAGCACAUCUGCACUAGCCAAGAGAGGAUUUGAUUCAUGGGAUCACAUUGGCAGACUUGGUGACCACGAAAGUUUUACUAAGCACCGACAAGCUCUCACCCACUUACACAGUGUGUUUAUCGAAGACUCAAACCCUUAAUAAAGAUAUAGCAGAUGGGUGUAUUAAAGGAAGAAAUUACUGGACAGAAGUAUUGAAGCAAGUCGUAUCAGCAAUAAAAUUUCUGAUAACACAAGGUCUGGCACUGAGAAGGACUAAUGAAACCUUUGGCAGUCUUAAUAGCAGAAACUUCCUUGGCUGCUUAGAGUUCUUAGCAGAGUAUGACUCUUUCCUGGCCUGCCAGCAUUGAUUCCAUGCCAGAUAUUAGCCAUACUGAUCAGCUGACAUUUACUGUGUGCUAUGUGCUGAAUAACUGUAAAGCUAUGGAACAGUUUUGGAAUUCUUCCAAUUACAUUGCAUACAGGUCUUCAUCUGUUUAAUGUUAUCAAUGAAACCCUAAGUGACAAACUAAAUAUCAAUCUAAAGGACUGCAGAGGUCACACAAGCAACAAUGCUAGUAACAUGUCUGACACUUAUUCUGCUGUGCAAGCUCAGGUAAUUGCGGUCAACAAGAAAGCAGUGUACAUCCCAUACAUGACCCACUCACUUGAUCUAUAUGGUGGUGCUGCUGCGUAGUCAUGCACUGAUGCAAUUAAACUUUUUUGAUUUGUCCCAAAACUGUUUGUGCUUUUCUGAGGAUUGACUUAUCGCUGGAGCCUCUAGUGAGAUUCUCUGAAGGAGGAGACAUCAGAGGCCAGUAAGAGAAAACUUUUCCCUACAUGCCUCAGUGACACAAGGUGGUCAGCUUGAGCAGAUGCACUUUGCAGUUUAUCGUGCAACUAGAAAAGCUACAAAUCUGUGCCUCAGGCUCUUGGUGUGGACACUCUGCAGAAGAGUGACACAAAAGCAGACGCAAACCCAUUAGUUGAAACCAUGGAUCAGUUGGAGACUGCAUUUUUGACACCAGUUUGGAAUAAUAUCCUUACAAGAAUAAAGAAAACAAAUCAACUUCUGCAGUCUGAAACAAUGGACUUAGGCACAGCUCUGGCACUGCUGGGGUGACUAUCUGAGUUUCUCGCAGCACAAUGGAGACUUUUUGAGGAAUACCAUGAAUCUGCAACCUCUUUGAGUUCUACAACUAACUUUCAGUUAAAAUGGCAACAUCGUCCAAAGCAUAUGGCUGAUGAUAGCAUAGAUGCUGGAACUAGGAGUGCUGGGGGUGUGGCAGCACCCGCUGGUUUGAAGUGGUUUCCAUCAUAUACAGGGUUUACAGUUUUGUUCAGUGGCUCUCAGCACCCCCACUAUAAAAAAUGUUCUAGCAUCCAUGGACGAUAGUGUUGCUGUUGUGCUGACUGGUGAAGAGAAUUUCAAAGUUGAAUCAGCCAUCUCAACAGAAGAAUUCAUGCAUGUUCAGAAAUAAACAACCGUUUCUGUUUUUUAACAGAUGACCUUGACAAUCACCUUUGUCCGGCUUGUCCUCGUCCAUACCUCCACGAAUGCAAGUCGAUGCUACACCAUUCUAUUUUGUUGCUAGCAUGUUCUUUCCAUUUCUGGCCAAAGAGUUUUGUCAUGGGAUCGGCCCAGUGUGUUUUUGGUCUGCCUGGCGAUCGCUUGUGGUCUCUGGGGAUCCAGUCACUGAUGUGGGUUGUCCAACUAUUGUCUUGCCUGUGGACUACAUGACCUGCCCAGCUUUGCUUUGACCUGGAGAGUACUGCUGUUAAAGAGUCUCUCAGAAGUUUAACUGAAUUCUAUUCAGAUGACCUCAAUGAAAAGAUCUUUGAAAAAUGGGUUUGAUGGUGCUCACCUGUAAAGCAACUUGCCUCCAAGCCAUUAUUGUAAGCUCUGCCUAUACCACUGCAAAUGCUCACCAUAAUGAACAUGCAUAAUUUGCAAACAGCCUUUCCAAAUGUCUUUACUGCACUACGCAUUUACCUGACACUACCAGUCUCAAACUGCAGUGGAGAAAGGUCUUUCUCACAUUGAAAAAGGAUAAGAAGUGCUACAAUGGGUCAAGAAAGACCUGAUAGUCUUACUCUAUACACUUCUCCAGUUUCACUGAAACAUUUGCUGCAGCAAAGACAGGCUGAAAAAUCUGAAGAUAUUUUUCAUCUCUAUAAAUAGAACAAUAGCUACAUGCAAUGGUUUUGUUGAGUAAGUUAUUCACGUUAGUACUUGUUAUGUAAUAUACAAAUUACUUAUCUGAAGCAAGACUAAUAUGAAUAAUGACACUGUAAAUAAAAUGUAUUAAUGUUUUUCAUAUUUUUUAUUUUAAAACAGCUUUAAGUCUGCCCCAAUUUCAUACAAAAAUUUAAUUCAAAUCCUGGUAGUUCCUAUGAGAAAUGUGAAGGGUACGAUAGUGUGACGGUUCCCUUUUAGUAUUUUGUAUUUUUUCUUUUAUAAUUUAUUUUAUGUAUACUUGUAUGUAUUCUUUUUGCCCUAUGGCUGCCAUUGCUGGUACCCUAGCAGCAGCCAGCUCCAUCUACAACUUAAACUUGGAAAUAAAACCUGUGUCAGAC